rnacentral:lncRNA from 1 species
UUUGAUUCUUCAAGUUAGCCACUACACCCUGCUUAUCAAACAAAUCAUUUCAAAAAAACAGAAAUUAAACAGAAAUAUCGCAACAAAACUAACAAAUUCUAUUAUCAGAUUUCAGUUACUUAAAUUCGAUUAUGGGCAAUUACUCAUCUUGAAAUAAAUAAUUUUAUUGGAUAAAUUUCAGUUUGUCAAAAAUUUGUUAUUCUAUUAUUUGUAAGGAAUGGUAAAACACAUUUUAAUUAAACACACAUACAAUGCAAAAAAAACAUUACUCAAUCAAUAUCAAUAUACAACCACAAUGAAAAAUAAAAUAAAAAACUUUACUCAAUCCAAUGCUUCUUCUAGGGAAGAGCCUCAAGUUCAUCAUUCUGUAAAAAAAAUAUAUUUCAAAAUAACUACAAACAGUUCAAAAUAAUAGAAAAUGCUAAAAUAAGAAUUGAAGACAUGAAAAAUACGCAGAAAGUAAUAGAGUUCAGUUUUGGACCUUCAUCUUAAGAAUUGGAUUUUCCUUUUGCAACCGCAGUAUUUGAUUCUACAAUACGGCUACUACACCCUGCUAAUCAAACAAAUCAUUUCACAAAAUUCUCCACAAAAUUCUUGUUCAGGAUAACUUGAUAAGCAAUGGUUGGCUACAAUAUCAAACAUAACAAAAUUAAGUAAAUAAAUUGAAAAAAAGUUAAUAUAAAAAUCAAAAGUAGAAUUAAAAGAAUCCUUCGUCAGCUCGUUUUGAAAUCUCAAGAAAUUCG